UGCUACUUCUGAAAUCUCUAAUUCUGAUUAUAUUAGUGAAAAAAAUGUUGGUUGUGAACGAAAUGAUACAACCAAGUGACAAGUGACAUAAAUAAUUUCUACACAAUAAAUUUCAGCCUUCAUUUAGAUAUUUUAUGAUUGAUUUUAAUAUUUUAAGAUUAAAUGUCCAGCUUUGGGAUGAAGGUAAAACAAUAAAAUCUAUGCACAGAACACGUUUAAAAAAUAGCAAAAAUGAUAAAGGCAUAUAUCAAAUUAUUUCCAAGAAUUUAUAAGAAAGAGUUGAAAUCUUUAAUAAAAAAAAAAAAAAUCUGCCUUUGGGACAUAAAUAUGCUCAUAGUUGAAGAAACACCCAAAUAUUUAACUAGACAUUUUUAUUGCACAUAUAUCUGGUGGUUUAGAUGGUGGUUAAGAUUUCAUAUCUGACUUCAUUAAGUUAAAGACGACGAACAUUACUGUUUUAAAUAUCUGAGAUUUAGACUUAGUCUAAACACAAUUCACAUAUGUCUCCAGAAAAAAAACAAAAAAAAACACACAUACAAAUCCACACAGUGUUUAAUGUUUUCAUUCUUGUGGGAAACUUGCUGUCCAAACAAGAAGUGACUGCAUUGUUCAUUAGGCCUUGAUUAUAUAGUCGAUGUCCUGAACACAACACACGUGUUUUUUAAAUAUGCCCUCACUCCUGUCUGUACUUCCACAAGGUUCUAUACUGUAAAAAUCAGACUACAUUCAUCACUCUCUGACAGCUGCCAUGUAUUAUUAUUUGAUGUCAUUUAUGUAUGUCUUUUGGUCAUUGUCAGAUUUAGCCUGUUCAAUGCUCUCAUCCAGUACUAAUGCUGUGUUUUCUGUGUAUCUCUCUCCAAGGGACUGUAACAGACAGGUGGGGUCAGUGGGGGUCUGGCCUUUGAUUGGCUGUUGCCGUAGGAACCAUAGGAGAGCUGCCAUUCUGGCUCAUUCUGACUCUUCCUUCAGGUCAUCGUCAUGGCAACCCAGAGAGAGAUUCCAUGAUGACACACACAAUAUCAGAAUCAAGGAAUCUGAGCUGCUGCAUAUCCAUAGAUUUCAACUAAACCACCAUCAACGGAGCCAUCAUGUUAUGUUUGGAAGUCUGCUUUGCACAGCGCUCUUGAAGGGUUGCCAUGUCCACUUAUUAUUAAGCAUCUUUGGGGUUUACUCAUAAAGCUAUACAGUUUAUGGAGUUAAUAAAAUAGGCAGCUGCAGAUCA
ensembl:lncRNA